rnacentral:rRNA from 1 species
CCUACGGGAGGCAGCAGUGGGGAAUUUUGGACAAUGGGGGAAACCCUGAUCCAGCCAUCCCGCGUGAGUGAAGAAGGCCUUCGGGUUGUAAAGCUCUUUCGAAAGUGAAGAAAACUUAUUUCGUAAUAUGUUAUAAGUAUGACGGUAACUUUAGAAGAAGCACCGGCUAACUACGUGCCAGCAGCCGCGGUAAUA